rnacentral:rRNA from 1 species
CAGCAGCCGCGGGAAUACAGAGGUCCCGAGCGUUGUUCGGAUUCACUGGGCGUAAAGGGUGUGUAGGAGGUUGGAUAAGUCAGGUGUGAAAUCCCGCAGCUCAACUGCGGAACUGCAUUCGAUACUGUUCAACUAGAGGAUCGGAGGGGGAAGCGGAAUUCUUGGUGUAGCGGUGAAGUGCGUAGAUAUCAAGAGGAACACCGGUGGCGAAGGCGGCUUCCUGGAAGAUACCUGACUCUGAAACACGAAAGCCAGGGGAGCGAAUGGGAUUAGAUACCCCGGUAGUCCCUGUCUCUUAUAC